rnacentral:rRNA from 1 species
ACGGGUGAGUAAUGCCUAGGAAUCUGCCUGGUAGUGGGGGACAACGUUUCGAAAGGAACGCUAAUACCGCAUACGUCCUACGGGAGAAAGCAGGGGACCUUCGGGCCUUGCGCUAUCAGAUGAGCCUAGGUCGGAUUAGCUAGUUGGUGAGGUAAUGGCUCACCAAGGCGACGAUCCGUAACUGGUCUGAGAGGAUGAUCAGUCACACUGGAACUGAGACACGGUCCAGACUCCUACGGGAGGCAGCAGUGGGGAAUAUUGGACAAUGGGCGAAAGCCUGAUCCAGCCAUGCCGCGUGUGUGAAGAAGGUCUUCGGAUUGUAAAGCACUUUAAGUUGGGAGGAAGGGUUGUAGAUUAAUACUCUGCAAUUUUGACGUUACCGACAGAAUAAGCACCGGCUAACUCUGUGCCAGCAGCCGCGGUAAUACAGAGGGUGCAAGCGUUAAUCGGAAUUACUGGGCGUAAAGCGCGCGUAGGUGGUUUGUUAAGUUGGAUGUGAAAGCCCCGGGCUCAACCUGGGAACUGCAUCCAAAACUGGCAAGCUAGAGUACGGUAGAGGGUGGUGGAAUUUCCUGU